AAAAAAUUAAGUAGUACCAAAACUGUUAAUACGUCUAAAUAUAAACGAUAAAUUAGAAACAAACAUUUGCACAUAUCUAGUUUGUAAUAAUUAUCAUUUAUAAUUUUGGUUAUGAUUCGUGCACGCUCGAGUGCAACGCAGUUAAUCCGCCACUGUUUACGAUCACGCUAUAUUUUGGCGGGAACUAUAAUAAAAAGCUCGCAAAUAAAAAAUAUUAAAAGAAGAACGCAUCAGAGGACUGUUUGAAACGAUCGUGGACGUUUGUAAACACAAGUGAGCAACAAUUAGGCUUUCGAUUAAAAUCACUGAUCACGUAGAGUUCUGAUUUUAUCGAUUGUGCAUUCGUUCGUUUGUUCCAUGGCGGCGCUGGUGUCGCGUUUACGAGAACAACCCCCUUUGUACAUUUUCUCCUUCGGUCAACUAUCGAGAAACUCUAUUUUUUAAACUUUGACAAUAAAAUCGAGCUAUACAAUUUAAUUAAACUUCAUUAUCUAGACUCUUUUGUACAAGAAAUAAUUGAUGUUAAUUUAAAUCAUCUUUCGAUAUUGAAAAUCGAUGAACAUAAAUAUAUUGCUUGCAACCUCACUCACCGCAACAUAAAUGUUAAAUGUGAUACUAUAAUGAUCACGAAGCAAUGAUAUAUACCGAUAAAAUAUUGAAAAUGACAUUUGACUUUGAAACAUUAAAAUUUUGGGAUGCUGGAAUUUAGGGACUUUUCCACGGACCUUACUGAGUACGAAUAUUUUAGUUCCACGACAUUCACAUAAGGAAAAUCGUAGUGAUUGUAAACUCGUAUGGAUGGACUCCUUGAAAAACAAGGAAUCAACUAACCUGACAAACGAUUGCUGAAUAAAGGGUUAAUAUCCUGCUCUGCUGUUUGGUGGUAUACUCUUGUUUAAAUGGUCCGAUAGUUAUUGCGAUAUUACAUGUACUCCGUGAACUCCAAAUGUGUUAUUUUACCCUUUUGAAUCCGGCGAAUUUCAAUUUUGCGUUUACGUCACUUUCCUUCUUGUCACGAAUUUACACACGCGACUGCGCUUGAUUUUGCAACGCACCAGUGGAAUUUAACGCAGACGUACUCUAUUUAGCUUUUGGUCCUUUGCGAAUUUACGUGCUCGCUCCAUUGGCGUAACUAGCAAUUUUAUCUGGGGUGGAUCAGGUACCUUAAUCUUUCUAACAGUGUUGACACAUCGGAUCAGACACAUGAACUAAUGGCUUCUGCAAUUCUUUAUUUAGAAAUCUGAGAAUUUGGAAAUCAAGGAACUGCCGAAUUUCAAGAUUUGAAAACUCGAACAUCUGAAGAUUUAUUACAUCUGAAUAGGAGCACAGAAAUUUGGGAAAUUUUGCAAAUUUAGAAGUUUGAAGAUUUGAACUCAGCAACGCGGGAAAUUUAAAAAUAUAGAAGUUUGAAAAUUUAUGAUUUAAAAAAUUUUUUAAUUUCUAAUACGAUAUACGAGGUACCUUAUGCUCUACAUUUCUCAUGUUACGUUUUAGGAGGAAGUAGUUUAUGUUUGGAGGAGGGAGACCCACCCUGGUCCCUAUCUAGUUACGCCAAUGACUCGUUCGGUGAAUCGAGCUCGCUGCCGAGGCCUGUUCGACGAAGCUAUUGCGAAACUUUCUAAUUGCCAAUUCUGCUCGCGAUAGCUCCUAAUUGAAUCAAGUUCCGUCAUUCUUUCCUUAAUCAAUCGAACCGUAUUCCCGGAUAUCUGUUAUCGUUCAUUUCGAUUGAUGCUCAUCGAACGGAUAUUGUUGAAUCUAACAACGAGAACGAUUAAUUUUCUCUCAUUAACGUUUCUCUUGUGUGCCGUGUGCUGGAACCUUAAGCAACACAUAUGCAGCUCAAAAUAAUUGGAACAACCUUAUGUAUGAAUAGAUUUCACGCCAAUUUAAUAUUACAGAAACUGUAUGUCAUUUUUAUCAAUCCAAAUCUUGGAAUUAUUUAGAAAAAAUGAAAAUAUUAUAAGAAAUUAUUCUGGAAUAAUUGUGACAAUAUUCUGGAGAUAACCUAGUAAUCUAGAGGAAACCUGGAAUAGCCUAAGAGGUUAUGUAGACUUACUCAGAAGAGCGCGAAAAUGUUGAUGUCUAAUAAGUAGGAUCAGUAUUCAAUUUAAGUUGUCAAAUUAUUUUGAGCAGAUUAUGUUCCUGCUUCCCGUUAGUAAUAGCGCAAUAACAUCCGCUAGGUUGGAACAGCAGUUCCCAUACGUCUUAAGUUCUAAUCGCAAGCCCUCGGUUUUUCGCGUUCUUCGUUGCCUGCGAGAUACACGCGUAGGCAAAUGAACGCUAGCGAAGCAUCGUUUAUACCUGGAAGUUAUCUAUAGUUGCCGAACGAGAAUUAUCCUUAUUUACAUACACACGGUGAAAAGAAAGUCCCCCGUAUAUGAGACGGUUUCGUGUACCUAUACAAAAUUAAUGAAUGCACGGGAUGCCGAUCGCCGCGGGACAAUAGCAUUUCACUGUCGCAGCCCUACAAGAACGAGAUUGUUUAUUGUACAGUGUCCUGCGACAAUCGCAUUUGUCGCGUCGUUCGAAGAAAAUGAAAAGGACAAAAUUUGAGCUAUCGUCGAGGAUUGAAAAUCAGUGAAAAAUACUUGUAAGGGAUUACCCCAACAGAUUCCGUUGUAACAUGUUUAUAAUAGGCAGCAAUUUUCUUUCAAAGUCAGCAAUUGUUCUCAUGGUUUUGUUUGAUGCUACUGUAUUUACAUGACUGUACCUAUCUUACUGGGCUUUACCACGCCUACAUCAUGUUUGCCACGACCAUAUUCUUUUUGUUACGCCUACACUGCGAUUAUUUAUCACGCAUAUACCUUACUAUUAUUCUUCUUGCGACACCUACACCUUUUCUACUAAAUCCAGCAUAUUCACGUGUUACCUUUACCAACGUGUUCCUUUUAACCCGCCCACAUCCUGCGCACCACGACGAUAUUUAUCUUGCCACGCCCACAUUAUCCCCACCAUGACCAUGAUCUUUCUGUCACGCCCACAUUAUCCCCACCACGGCCAUAUUUUUCCUGCUACGUCCACAUCAACUGGACUAGAAAAUCUCCGACUAGAAAUCUUUAAUAUUGUAUUAAUAAUGUUACAAGCAUUGCUGCCUACAGUGAAACUGUUUUAAAACGAACAUAACAUGUCAGAACCGUACAGACUUCGAUAGAAAAACGUGUGUCCGUUGUCACGGGAGAAUGAUUCUAGUAUGAUGACGUUCGACGAUGAAAAGAUUAGGAACCACAGACCUAACGCUUAAACUAAGGCUACGCGUUAUUGCGCGAUCGUUCGAGACUAGAAUGGACAUCCGUUGGGAAAUUAAGAAAUGGAUUCGACGGACAAACGAGUAAACAAGAAACAUUUGGUCAAGCGCUUAGACGAAUGAUAUAAAUAUCUAUUCUAAUUAGUGUCCCCUAUCUGAUGAACACCUUUGUUUACCGAUCUGUGCGUUUACGUCGGAAACGUUUUUUAUGUUACAUAUUUACAUCUCGUUCUUCAUUCGCCUCUCAAGCAUUUUCUCUUAUUUUAAACGAUAUCGUUCGCAAUUCGGUAGAAUUCAGUGAUGGGGUAUACUUCGCGAGGCAGAAUGUUUCUGUUCAGUUCACACGUUCAGAUCAUGGAUAGUAACAUGCAGAAGUACAUUCAGAAUGUAGAGUCUGAGAGGUUUAAGCGUCAAGUACUCAAAGCUGAUGGGAUCUGAGUGAUUAAGAGCAAGGAUCGUAGUCACUCAAGGUCAUCUUGCUAGAGAUAACGUUAUAAGCUUUUUCAACUUUCUUCGUAUACUCAUCACAGGCAUAAGUAAAUUCUUCUUAUAGUUACUUAUUGUAUUCCUCUCUUUCUUCUAUAAUCUUUCAUUCUUCUACGCACAAUGAGACUAAGUUCAUUGACCAUGAGUGACCAAAAUGGCUCCGACUAAAUACUGAAUUCAAGUGGCUACUUGAAUUGCUGUUGACCCACUUGCUCGAACUUGACUAGAAAUCCUCAACAGGCAGCGGCCAUUCGACACUAAGACCACAAGUCGAAACGAGUUUAAAAGAGGCGUCAAUAUAUCUCGACAAAACAUACCAUCCUGGAAAUUAGAACAAUUAUAAAACUUGAGGCAGGAAUAUGUAGAGCAUAUACAAGAUGACUCAUUUAAAUCAAUCCACGCAAAUAUAUUGCAAAAUAUUAAAAUGACGUUUCUCCAUAAGUAGCUUAAUACUUUUCUGUACAGAAUAACGAGCUGCAUCGAACGAAGCAUUAAAGAACAUGACCUUCAUAUCUCCCCUACGUGUCCGCGUAACUUUUAUCUAAAAUAUUUGUUUGCAUAAUCAAUAUUUUCAAAGAUAUUCGAAUGGGUCGAUAUAAAUAGGAAAGUCUGUAUACACUCGACAUAUUCCUAGUUUCAUAACGUUGAAUUUCCGGGUUGGGAUGUUCCCUUGUUAGUACGCGUCGUGCAUUCUAUUACAGCAGCGGAGAAAUCGGCCUUCGGGUAAACUGAAACGAGAAACAUUCAGUAUGGCGCAAAGUACACCUGUGGCUCGCAAACCGAUUACCUUCUUUGGAUCUAUCUGGUGGCAUGAGUGCGCGUUAGGCGCCGAGAUUCACGGGAUAAGAACGCGCCAACGAUUGAGCCUCGAGCAUAGGCCUCGAGUCAUAUAGUCCAGACCUGCACCUUCUCCGCGACGAUGCACCAGCUCGCGUGGUCGUAGUAGGACGAGAUAAUGUGCAAGUUCUCCACGUAUUUGUUGAUCAGUUGGUCCAGCUCGCCCUCCCUGAACACGUGAUAGUACUGAUGGUAGGUGAUGGCGCCGCCUCCGCGGCCCGAUGUCAACGAUUCUUGGGACGACGA
rnacentral:lncRNA from 1 species